rnacentral:misc_RNA from 1 species
GAUGAAGAACGCAGCGAAAUGCGAUAAGUAAUGUGAAUUGCAGAAUUCAGUGAAUCAUCGAAUCUUUGAACGCACAUUGCGCCCGCCAGUAUUCUGGCGGGCAUGCCUGUUCGAGCGUCAUUACAACCCUCAGGCCCCCGGGCCUGGCGUUGGGGAUCGGCGGAGCCCCCCGUGGGCACACGCCGUCCCCCAAAUGCAGUGGCGGUCCCGCCGCAGCUUCCAUCGCGUAGUAGCUAACACCUCGCGACUGGAGAGCGGCGCGGCCACGCCGUAAAACACCCAACUCUUCUGAAGUUGACCUCGAAUCAGGUAGGAAUACCCGCUGAACUUAAGCAUAUCCAAUAAGCGGAGA